CAGUGAAACGUGAGCGGGGAGGGGGGGCUGCUGCUGGCCUUUGUCGGGCACGUGCGCGUCCUUCCUCCCGCGACGCACCAUCCACUUACACCUGUGCACCCGUCGGCGAGCGCCUUUUUGGGUUUGGGAUAUAGGGCCUCGCCGCCCCCUUUUGCAACCGCUCCGAGUACACGCGCAUGUUUGAAGCCCCACGGGGCGAGUCAAUGUA
rnacentral:misc_RNA from 1 species